GGAAUAUAAAAUCCUGAAGCUUUGCCUGUGUGCUUUCUUUCCUCCUUUCUGCAAAAAGCUAUUCUAGACGAGGAACACUCACUAAGUGAGAAAGAGACAGAAAAAAGAAGAAGAAGAAGAAAAAAGGAUGAACCAUGCGGGUGAAGAAGGGGAAACAGUUCUACAGGCGCUACACAGCCACCUAGAAGUGUUGUAGUGAGCACCUUAUGUCCCUGCCAGAAAACCCACAAACAAGAUUAUGUGAUCAUGUGAGAACAGGAACUGCUGAUAUUGCUGCAAAGAUGGAUGUUAGAGAAACCUAGAUGAUACAAUAAGUAAUGUAUUACAUCUUGCACACAAGAGGAGCGGGUUUGAAGCUGCCUGUAUAGAGAUUUCUGUUUUCAUAUUAAAAUAAAUAACCUUUCUGAUGUGUUAUUUUGUUACACAGUUAAGUCGAUCAAUACAUUUAAUGUGUGAUUUACAUUUUGGAUGUAAUUUCUGAUUCUGUUUUGAAUUUUUUUAUUAUUUUUUAAAAAUUAACCGUACAUUGCUCAAUACAAU